UUCGUGUUGUCUCUGUUUUUCCUUCUCCUUUCCCGUCACAUAAACUUCAUCUUGCCGUUGCUAUGUGUGUUUCCUCACUACCGAUUAAGCUUAUUCCUUUCCCUUGUUGUUCAUCUGUUUCUGUUUGGUGAAGCAUCUGAAUCUCUCCCUCUCUUCUGCUCCGUUGUGUGGCUGACAGAGGUGAUAUGAGCUGAUUCAUACUUGUUGCGACUGAGGUUUGUUAAGGAAGUUAAGAGCGUCAUUAGAACUACAGUGAAAAGUAAGAGAAGCAAAUUUUAGAAUUUUGGAAAAACUUCUAGGUGAGUGGGUAGC